rnacentral:rRNA from 1 species
GACGAACCGAGCGAACGUUGUUCGGAAUCACUGGGCUUAAAGGGCGCGUAGGCGGCGCAACAAGUCACUUGUGAAAUCUCCGGGCUUAACCCGGAGCGGUCAAGUGAUACUGUCGUGCUAGAGUGCGGAAGGGGCUACUGGAAUUCUCGGUGUAGCGGUGAAAUGCGUAGAUAUCGAGAGGAACACCUGCGGCGAAGGCGGGUAGCUGGGCCGACACUGACGCUGAUGCGCGAAAGCCAGGGGAGCGAACGGG